rnacentral:rRNA from 1 species
AUGACUGCAGCAUAUAGAAAGGGGCUGGUGCAUUGCUUCGUUCAGCGACGACGUCGACUGGGACAAGGUUCUGUGAACAUUCCACCACCUAUAAUUGAAAAAUUUUAUAACCAAGGGGGAGAUGACGAUGAUGAUGAUCACGAGCAUGAGGACGAGCAGGACCCAUAUACUCAGUGGCGCUUGGCAACUUAUUCUGAUGGAUCACCUCUUCUUGUCUGUAUACAGGGCACUGCUCAUGUUACUAAGGAAGCAGGUGUUGUCUCGCAUGGUCGCACUCUCCGGACCUAUUCCAACUUCCGUUGCAGGGUAUUCGGGAUGGAUACUAGUGUACUAGCGCCAACACCUUCUCCCUGGUUCAGUAUUGAAAAUCUUGGAGGAAACUCGCUCUUCCUUGGACAAAACUAUCCAAUGAUGGUGGAAGGUGAUCCAGCUGCUGUUGACACAAUGUUACUACCAUUUAUGAGAAUCAACUGUAUCUAUACCUCGGACAUUGCUAUGCUUCCCUACCGUCCCAAUAUGGGUCCUGACAUAGGCCGCUUCAGCCUGGAUGAUCAGUCCUGCGUUGGUCUCGAGAUUGACAGUAGCUGGCCCUUCCCAGAGAAUCACUUUUGGUUCAAAGCAAGCGUUUCCAACGCCGACGAGUGGUUGAGCUGA